GCCAGCAGAUUUCUUUCUCACCUCCAGGGCUGCAGGCACACCUUAUCCUCGGAUAUACUGAAAUAAAUUUCUUCGCCCAAGGUAGAGCCAUUCUUGUCCCGCGUUCGACCUCAACAAACUGGAACUCAGUGAUGCAAAUGCCCCCACUUGACCCCAAAGGCAGGAUAUGCAGUCAGCCAAUCCGCAGACGCCCCACGCCAAGCCAACUCGGGUCCCUCUCACCCCAAACAAGAGACGGUGGAGCCCCAAUCCCUCAGUUUUUGACCACGAGGAGUGGGAUCCAAGGCUUCCUGCUAACUGGCGGAGGAGCUUACAGGAGAAACACCCGCAGCUGAACCCUUUUGAGUUCCUGGUUCUAGCACUUACCGAGGGCUCCGGGUAAGUCACUGAGCACUGAGGGCUCGCGUGCCUGCGGCGCUCAGAUCGAAACAAACUUUAUUUAAAACUGCACGUACAUCUUGCUCCCAGAAAGGUUCUGGAGCCCUGGAAAGGUUCCUGGGGUUUAUUGAAAUUCUUAGAAAGGUUCUGGGUCUCGUAAGUUUCCAAGAUUGUUAACGCAUCAAAAUAGGAAAUAUGAAUGAUUAAAUAUACAUGUAAAAUACCUAUACAUAGAAAAUAACAAAAGACGAAUGAGAAAAACUAAGACUGAAUGCUCUUUAUCAGGUUAAGUAUUCUUCUAUUCCUAGUUUGAAAGUUUUUAUCAGGAAUGUUUCUUAGAUAUUGUCAAAAGUUUUUCUGUUUAUUAAACUAAUUUUUUUGUUUCAUUUUUACUUUGUUAUAUGGUGAAUUAUAUCAAUUGACUUAUGAAUGUUAAAUAAACCUUGUAUUUCUGGGGUAAAACCAAUUUGAUAAUAAUUUAUUAUUUAUAUUGUUGGAAUUAAUUUGCUAAAAGUUUGUAUGUAGUUUUGCAUCUAUGUUCAUGAAGGAUAUGUUUCUGGAAUUUGAUUGAAAUGCAUUUGACUGAUUUUGAUGUCAAGAUAAUUCUGGCCCCAUUAUAUAAAUUGGGAGGUAUUCUCUCCUCCUAAAUUAUCUAUAAGAGUUUGUGUAGAAUUGCCAUUAAUUCUUCUGCAAAUAUUUGAUAGAAUUUGAUACUUAGCAAACUAGUCAGGGAGUUUUCUUUGAGGGCUAAUAUGUUCACUACAAAUUCAAUUUCUUUAAAAGACAUAGGGCCAUUCACAUUUUCUGUAACUUCUACAGUGAGCUGUGGUAGUUGUGUCUUUAAAGAAAUUUAUUUAAUCUAAAUUGUUGAAUGUAUUGGCUGAAAACACUAAUAUCCCCUUUAUCAUCCUUUUAAUAUCUGUAGAAUUUAGAGCAGUGUAACCCCUCUCAUUCCAGGUGCUAAUUUGUGUCUUUUUUUUUUUUCUUUCUUUCUUUCUUGAUCAUUCUGGCUGGAUUUUAUCAAUUGUAUUGAUGAUUCUAAGAUCCACCAUUUGAUUUCAUUUUUUCUAUUGUUUUUGUUUCCUGUUUCAUUGAUUUUCACUUUAGUCUUUAUUAUUUAACUUAUUCUAAUUCCUUUGGCUUUAAUUUGAUCUUUGGCUUAUUUCUUAAGGUGGCAGCUAAAGUCAUUUGAGACCUUUCUUCAUUUCUUAUAUACACAUUUAGUGCUAUAAAAAAAAAAAAACAAGUACUGCUUUAGCUAUGUUAAAAGAUAAACUGAGGCACAUUAAAAUUUUCAAGAGUUCAUUUGAUGGAAUGUCUAUUCCAUUGAGGCUGCACCAAACCAAAAGUGGUUAGACACUCCUUGGGCAGGAGCUGGGGAAACGCUUUUUUUUAUUUUAUUUUUUAAUUUUUUUUAAUGUUAAUUAUUUUUAAGAGAGAGAGAGAGUGGGGAGGUGCAGAGAGAGAGGGAGACACAGAACUCAAGCAGGCUCCAGGCUCUGACCUGUCAGCACAGAGCCCCACACGGGGCUCAAACUCACAGGUUCACAGCCCUUGAGAUCUUGAACUGAGCCCAAGUCGGCCACCCAACAGACUGAGCCACCCAGGCGCCCCUGCUUUUAUAGAGCAGAUGCAGAAUUAAAGCAAGGAAGUUAUUUGGUGGGCUAUAGCUUCAGUGGUUGGCUUGUUUAGGAAAGAAUAGUUGGCCAUUUGUGAUUUGUUCUUAAAGUUUUGUGUUUUGGGAUAGGAGUGUGUUUAAAGCACUUUACUCUGGCUUACUUCUGUUUGCUUACCAAGGCUACUAAGACUUUAAAGCCACCUCAGUCUAUUUACAUAAUUACUUUAACGCGUUAGCUACCACAGUUUUUGGUAAGUCUUUUUGUUUUAACUUCAGUUCAGAAUAUUUUCUAAGGUCACUUCUGAUUUCUUCUUUGACCUGUGGAUUAUUUAAAAUUGACCUACUUAGGCUUUAAAUGCCUGAGGAAUUUCCAAACACCUGUGUAUUUGGAUAUGUUGCUUUUAUUUUUAUGAAGUUUGAAAUAUUUUCUGUGAUUCCCUAAGGAUUUUCUUUUCCACUUAUGUAUUACUUAGAAGUUAUUUCCGUCCUUUGAAAUGUGUUGAGAUUCAUUUUAUGGGUUGGCAUAUGGUCUGUCUUGGUUAACACACUGUGUGGAUUUGACGAUUUUCAUGCUGCAAUUGUAGUACCUAGUGUUGUAUAAAUAUCAAUUAAGUCAAUAUGUUGAUAGUAUUUUCUGGAUAAUUUAUGUUGUUACCAACUUUUAAAAUCUACUUGUUCUAUUAAAUCCUGAAAGAUGGGUUUAAAUGCC